rnacentral:rRNA from 1 species
CCUACGGGUGGCAGCAGUGAGGAAUAUUGGUCAAUGGCCGAGAGGCUGAACCAGCCAAGUCGCGUGAGGGAAGACGGCCCUACGGGUUGUAAACCUCUUUUGUCGGGGAGCAAAGCGAGUCACGUGUGACUCAUUGAGAGUACCCGAAGAAAAAGAAUAGGCUAACUCCGUGCCAGCAGCCGCGGUAAUACGGAGGAUGCGAGCGUUAUCCGGAUUUCUUGGGUUUAAAGGGUGCGCAGGCGGAUUUUUAAGUCAGCGGUAAAAGCGUGGGGCUCAACCCCCUCCAGCCGUUGAAACUGGGGAUCUAGAGUGUGCGAGAGGUAUGCGGAAUGCGUGGUGUAGCGGUGAAAUGCAUAGAUAUCACGCAGAACCCCGAUUGCGAAGGCAGCAUACCGGUGCACAACUGACGCUCAGGCACGAAAGCGUGGGUAUCGAACAGGAUUAGAUACCCUUGUAGUC